rnacentral:rRNA from 1 species
GAUGAACGCUGGCGGCGUGCCUAAUACAUGCAAGUCGAGCGAACGGACGAGAAGCUUGCUUUUCUGAUGUUAGCGGCGGACGGGUGAGUAACACGUGGAUAACCUACCUAUAAGACUGGGAUAACUUCGGGAAACCGGAGCUAAUACCGGAUAAUAUUUUGAACCGCAUGGUUCAAAAGUGAAAGACGGUCUUGCUGUCACUUAUAGAUGGAUCCGCGCUGCAUUAGCUAGUUGGUAAGGUAACGGCUUACCAAGGCAACGAUGCAUAGCCGACCUGAGAGGGUGAUAGGCCACACUGGAACUGAGACACGGUCCAGACUCCUACGGGAGGCAGCAGUAGGGAAUCUUCCGCAAUGGGCGAAAGCCUGACGGAGCAACGCCGCGUGAGUGAUGAAGGUCUUCGGAUCGUAAAGCUCUGUUAUUAGGGAAGAACAUAUGUGUAAGUAACUGUGCACAUCUUGACGGUACCUAAUCAGAAAGCCACGGCUAACUACGUG